rnacentral:rRNA from 1 species
UACGUAGGGUGCAAGCGUUGUCCGGAAUUAUUGGGCGUAAAGAGCUCGUAGGCGGUUCGUCGCGUCGGCUGUGAAAACCCGGAGCUCAACUCCGGGCCUGCAGUCGAUACGGGCGGACUGGAGUGUUGCAGGGGAGACUGGAAUUCCUGGUGUAGCGGUGAAAUGCGUAGAGAUCAGGAGGAACACCCAUGGCGAAGGCAGCUCUCUGGUCGACAUCUGACGCUGAGACGCGAAAGCGUGGGGAGCGAACGGGG